UAUAUAUAUACAUAGAGAGAGAGAGAGAAUUUUUUAAACUAAUCAAUACUCGAGCUGCACUGUGAGGCACUUGUUAGCGAUUCUGAAUAAUCUAAACCCAUGUUAUCGGUUUGCUAGUAGAGCGACGCAUUUGAGAUUCCUAUCCGUGAGAAUUAAUUGUGAAAUUGAACUAUUUACUAGAAUGGGAGUGCCACAAUUAUCCGAUCAAUAUAUCAUUUAACAAGGAUAUCAUAUUUCAUAAAAUAAGCUUUUAAUCCUUUUUUCAGCGAGCGAUAUACAUAAAUAAUACUUUACUGGAGGCUUAUAAAUAUUUUCAUUGCAAAGUAAUUGGCUCUUUUCGUAAAUUAAUCAUUUUCUACUUGAAACUUUUUGUCUCAAUCGUUUCAAAAUUUAUUUUUCUCCCAAUUAGUCGUGUCACUCGUCUAGCAAACCAACGAUAUGCCUCGGACAGAGCUCGAUUCCGCAAAAUUUCGUGUUUAACUAUAACCUGUCGUUGAUUUGCACAAUUCUUACUACCAGGCAUAGUUGUCACUACUCAAAGAAAGAAGUUGUAUAUAUAUAGAUAUAUAUACAACGAUAUGAAAAAGAGGGAAAGAUCGAAUGAAAGAUCGAAUGAAAAUGUAUCCGCAGUCGAGGACACGUAUUCAUGGGGGUCGUUAUAGGCUUUACACCCGGCGAAGCACGUAAAACGUUUUAAGAAGUAAACGUGUCAAAGAGGAACAAGCUACUGUAUUCGAGGUAACAUCCCCGUUGGCAGUGUGCCGACAAAUUGCAGGCGUGACGAGUUUUGCAGCGAAUCGGGGAAACAAAAUGCGUCCACGAACACGACUUUUGUUGGAAUCGAUACCGGUAGCAAUGGUCAACGACGAGCUGGCACACGAUCCGCUGUCAUUCCGUGACAGCGAAUAUCAGAUCACGUAAACGAAUCGUGUUCAUACACAUACGGGCACUGGCUUCUAUGUAGUAGAGAAUGCACAUGUGGAAAUUCUAUCAAGCUUCUAGGAACAUCUUCCUGUAAUAGAGCAAUGAAAUUCUUCGAAUAAUUGGCAUAAGUGAUCUAUUUUAUUCUUGAUGAGUUAACAACCUCGUUGAGUUAAUAUCUACGUUGCUUCAAAUAAUAGGGGAACAUGCCAUGUUUCAAAGUUAUAUGGUCGAACAAAAUACAUGAUACCAGUGGCAAUUGGCUUUUCCCUUUUUAUAAAUCCGAAGGUCAAUUUUCUUUCUUAAAAUAAAUUUUACAUGAGUUCUGGGACGAAUGUAGCGUAGGAUGAAUGCAUUCAGAAUUUUCAAAUAAUGAGACGAACGAAGAUACUGGAGUUGUUAGCAAUCUUCUUUUGAGAGUUUGCUUUUUAAAAUCUGUCGCAUUUUCUAUGGGAACAUACACAUGCGAUACUGUUACUAUUGCAUUUAAAAAAUCAAGAUUGUUCUCCGGAUCCGCUUUACGUCAUUUGUAAAGAAACGAUUGCCGUCAGCAUGUUUCUUCUUCAAUCCUAUAACUCUCACAAGUAAUAUGUUCACGUAUUAUUUGAAAUAAGGAAAAUGUUUUAGGUAAACAUAGCUAGUAGGGCACCCACGUAUGUCAGAAAAUAAGAACGAAAAUUUAGAUUUCUAUUGGUAACAUUCGAGAUACUUUUAUGUAACUUUAUCCCUUUGGAAGAUCGUUUUGAUAAUCGUUGUAAGUAAUUUCAUGAAGAUAUAUUUUCAGACACUGAUACUCGUAUUCUCAAUACAGAGUGUUUGAAAAUCACAGAUUAGAAAAGUACAGAAGAAUAGAAGAUACAUUUUUGGUCUAAUCGAUUUACAUUCGUUUCUAUUUCACUUUUUAUGUAACAACGUUUAAUAAUUAUUAUUACAUAUUUGUUAUAAUUUCUUACUGGAAAAUUCCUGAAAUCUGAAACCGAAAGACUCAGGCUUUGUUCCUUAAAAAUGAAAGAGAAACGAUGAUACGUUUAUUAGAUUAAAAUGUAUGCUUUCCUAACUAAUAAUACUAAAACGCUAUGUCUAUAGAGCUGACAUUGUCUCAGUAUAUUUCUGAAAAAUAAGAAUACUUGUAACUCGUCAAAAUUUCAAAACAAUAUUUCAAAAGCGGUAAUUUAAAAUGCUGAAACUUUUGAUAAAGAUAAAAUAAAAUAUCUAUCGUGCUGCACCAGGAUUUAUUGAAAAUGUAUAAGUCACGUUAAAGAAACAACGUGAGGAGAACACAGAGGUCAAUUUUGCUUCUGUGUAAGAUGGCAGUCGCAGCAUGACGUAUUUCAUGUAGUCUUUCGUUUAUCUGGCAGAACAAGACAGGAGAUCAAUAUGUUUAUAUAUUCAUUUAUUUUUUUUUUCCAAAGAAAUUUGAAUGCAAAGUAGUGUACGGUGGUAAUCUGCCAAAUUUCCAUAUCGCGAAGAUAUUAAAAAUGGAGAUGAUGAUGGAGUGGAGAAGGAGAGGAGAGAUGGGCAGGGGGAUGAUGCUACCUUGCUAAGAAAAAAAGGGACGAUGACACUUGAGCAAGCGAAGGUUUAUUAUUUGCAUAUAUUUUUCUGUUUAUAUUUUGUCUUUCUUAUGCGAAUGAAGUGGAUGGAAACGUAGACAAACUACCUCUAUUCACGACAUGUAUACACGACAUGCAUACAUGAUAGUAUCUGAAAAAGAGUCGCUUGUUGUGUCUUUAUCAUUAGUUCCAUUUUAGUUUCCUUUUUAUCUUUUUAAUACUUCUACAAAUUCUACUAUGAGUUUCCUGCUAAAGAAAUUUGUUCUUUCAGUUGCAGUGAAGCUUUUAACCAUUUUAAUACUGGUACAAACGUGGACUACGUCAAACUAAUAAAGGUUGUCCUACUCUCCUUGAACAUAACUUUUUUUCUUUUAAGGAUAGUUGAAAUUUUGACUGAUUCGUUAAAAUCUACGUUUAUUGAAUGGCAUACUGAGUGAUUCUUUUGUUUUAUUCAUAGUAAAUCUUUACGAAUUUAUUUAAUUUAAUUGAAGCAGAUACUUGUCAACCCUUUCAUUUCUAAAUUACGUAACAACCUAACGUAAUCUCUGCAAUAUUUCUAUCCAGAGAAACAAGCGAUUUGCACAAAUAUUUGGCAUAAAGCUUAUUUGGAAUUCUAUCAUUACAGUCUGACGAGAAUAACAUUCUAUUUCAUACGAUUACUUUGUGAGAAUGAAAUUACGAUCCUACUAUGAUAUACGAAUUUUUAUCUCUCGUCUCAGAAAAAUAAUAGACUACAAAUUUUAAACGCUUCAAAAUCGAAACGAGAAGCACAACGACGAUUCUUUCAUAUUUACCUCGGAAUUAAAUAGUCGUUCGACGAUAGAAAACUACAAUUGGACAAAAAUUGACGUAACAGGGUUAACAGGUAUCGGUAUCCAGGUUGUGGGAAAUUUUUCGAUUACUCUUCACAGUCUCUCUAUUAGCCGUAAUUCUCUUCCUCGCUGGAAUUUCCAACGUUCUAAAUUCCUACCAGCGAAUCACGUUGCGAGCUAAGUUCGAUUAGUCCUAAUUAUGCGCCCGGAACAUAUUCCAUCUCGCGUAACUGUCUACUCUGUACAAAACACCGUGUAGAAUUUCAGACAAUGGCAUUGAACGCCUCGGAAAAUUGGACCGCGAAUUCCUAUUGUUCGAUAGGUCAGAGAAAGUAUAGUAUAUCGUCGAUAAUUACAGUCGACUUCGUACCGCCUCGAGGUUCAUGUUGUGUCACGAGGGUUUCUUUUUUUUUUUCUUCUUUCUCUACCAUUUCCAGAUGUACUCGUUGCCCUUUCUUUUCUCUUUACCAUCAGACAGCAUAUUUAGAGAGCAGCGGUUUUCCCUUUUUUUCCUGUUUCUCUUUCUUUUUUCUCUUUUCUUUUUUUUUUUUUUUUCUUUUUGCGGCCACACCAAUUUACAGCCACAGACGAGUUUCUAAUUAGAAACAGGGAAAGAUUUCGUUUCAGCUGGUAGCUAUGACUGAGAAACACAACCGUCUGCUUGUUAAUCAUUGUUACACGAUUGCUUCUUGUACCGUACUCGAGCAAAGGAAAACAGAACGAAAUGGGAACAGUUUAUCGGGUUUACUCAAAUGGCAAGCGAAGACGAUUAUAGACAGCGAUUAGGACAACUUACACGAAAUCUACACGAAGAGGUGGUUCGAAAAAACGAUUGAGGAUUUUCGUCUAAUUUUCCCCCUACUCUGUCCCCUUUACCCCGACAACCCUUACGAAAGAAAGUAACACGGCCACUCGUAGGAAAUUCGGAAAAAAAGAGAAACGAAAAGAACACUCAAGGAAAUGAACAAAUUUCUGGUAAACGAAAGUAAAUUACAAAAAAAAAAAAAAAAA